AAGCGUGGGGAGAAAACGGAACAGAUACCCUGGUAGUCCACGCCCUAAACGAUGUCAACUGGUUGUUGGGUCUUCACUGACUCAGUAACGAAGCUAACGCGUGAAGUUGACCGCCUGUGGAGUGAGGGCGCAAGGUUGAAACUCAAAGAAAUUGACGGG
rnacentral:rRNA from 1 species